GUCUCAUUUGCUCUAAAACUGAAAUCUCCAGUGCCAACUCACUGCAAGGCACCAAAUAUAUGCUCGUUUUUAAAUGAUCAGAUACUCUCAUAAUUUGCAGAGACAACUAUAAUUGGUUGACCCUGAAAAGUAAACACCGUAAAGUUUGUUUGAGAAUCCUAACCAGCCCAACACAGCUUGAGCACGAGUUGAAAAACACACAACAACAGUUUUAACUCGGGACUGUGUUUGCGUUCAGGACGGUUCUCUCAGGAGAAGCGGCUCUUUCGGGAAACUCAGGGAAGUCCUGCGCAGAAGCAGCGAGAUGCUGGUGAAGAAAAUCCAAGGAACCAUGCCACCAGAGCCUCGCAGCACAAACAUGAAGAGAGCUGCGUCCCUCGGUUAUCUGAACAGUAAUGGAGAUGAGUGCGACUCUUUUCAGGGUUCGGGAGCAGUGAGGACGCUGAGAAACAGCAGGCCUCUGAGCUCAAGC